AUACGUAGGGAGCGAGCGUUGUCCGGAAUUACUGGGCGUAAAGGGCGUGUAGGCGGAGAUCUAAGCAGGGUGUGAAAACUAUGGGCUCAACCCGUAGCCUGCAUUCUGAACUGGAUCCCUUGAGGGCAGGAGAGGAAAGUGGAAUUCCUAGUGUAGCGGUGAAAUGCGUAGAUAUUAGGAGGAACACCAGUGGCGAAGGCGACUUUCUGGACUGUACCGGACGCUGAGGCGCGAAAGCGUGGGGAGCAAACAGGAUUAGAUACCCGGGUAGUCCACGCCGUAAACGAUGAAUACUAGGUGUAGGGGGUAUCGACCCCUUCUGUGCCGUAGUUAACACAAUAAGUAUUCCGCCUGGGGAGUACGGCCGCAAGGUUGAAACUCAAAUGAAUUGACGGGG
rnacentral:rRNA from 1 species